rnacentral:lncRNA from 1 species
CGAGGAAGGAAAUAAUUUUCACUGUGUAUCUUUCUGGUUUGUUAUUUUUAAAAAUUUGUUAUUUUCACAAGAAGCCAAGAGGAAGAUAGAUACUUUUCAGGUUUUCCCCUCUGGCCAAAACCUUUCUGAGAGAAGAUCCCAAACCCACUUAGGAAAGCACCUUCUCACAGUACCCAGGAUCUUCACAUGACUGGCAUCUAGAAAUAAACUUUAAGUUAUUAGGGGGUUAAUUUCCAAGGUUACUUCUGAGCGACAGCCCAGUUCCACAACCGACCUGCCUUAUAAACGCUAUCAGUUUCUGGAAACCACUUGCUCAGCACAAAGCUCUUCUCCUCAAGUAAACACUCAAGUUAGUUUUUCCUUUUCCAUUGUCCCGAGCACGUUACAUCCACCCUCCCCGUUACUAUCCUCAACCUCAGCCCUUAAUGCAACGGCAAGCCCCGUUACCCACACCAGCAGUUGUUGAAUGUUAGAAGUCAACCAGCGUUCCCUCUCCCAAUUCUCUCGCUAGCUCCAAGUUAUAAUUUACUUAUUUUGUUUUGCUGUUGUUUUGUUUUGGAGACAGGUUCCUUCAAAAUAGCCUUGGCUGGCGUGGGACUCGCCAGGUAACUCAAACCGGCCUCUAACUUGGAGCAAUUGUUCUGCCUCUGCCCUUCGAGGGGUGCGAUGACCGAGGUGCGCCACCACGCCCUGUUAUCCGCUGUACUCUGGCUGCCCUCAGACCCGGUCAUCCACCCUCAUGGACCUGCAAUAAGCUGGAGGAGACCUGCUCAAGGGUUCAAAGAUAGGAGGUGCAGCUAGGCUCCAACUCAGCAAAAGACGCCCGGAGUGAGGCCGGGAGCCGCCCAGGAGCAGCGGAAGUGGACUUCCCGCCAGUGGAGGUCAAGGCGGGGCGGGGCACGGAGCAAAUAUAACACAUGGUCCUCGCCCAGGCCAGGACACGGAGGAAGCAGACGGAAGGAAGGAGCGGAGCAUCUACCUCCGCAGGGCCCACGUCGUCGUCCGAGUUAAUACGAACCAGGAGCCCAAGACCACAGUCCGCUACCGAGUCCGGAAAAGGGACGCCAGCUCUUUAUCGCGGGACUUCCGGGUUGUUGCCGGAAGCGGAAGUUGAUUGAGGGACUAGCGUAGCGGCAGCGUCGCUCUAGACCUCAACCGUGUCACGCUAGUCUAUGGUUUUAACUCGCCUCUUCUCCAUGCUUCGGGGCCAAGCGCUGUUUGGGCUUCGCCUUCCUCCGCCCGCUGACCCAGUGGUAAAAAGAGAAGAGAUGAGCAGGGAUUCCUCUAGUCUCCGAGGCCACACCCUGGAACCUCUGAUGCCACUCCAGAAAGACGAAAGGGGUAGUGGCUUGUUCCACCUUGGGUGGGGUCACUCCCGCUGAGGCUUGGCGCGGUCUACUGGACAAGCCCAGUGUCCUACUUUGCUUUCUGUUGCUGUGAUAAACACUGUGAUUUGAAGCAACCCGGAAAGAAAAGAGUUUGUUACAGUUGACACGUUACAGUCACACCACCCGAGGAAACCAGGGCAGGAGCUCGGAGCCGAAGCCAAGGAGGAACGUUGCUUACUGGUGUGAGGCGUGUAUGUCUGUGCACCACAGGCAUGCCUGAUACCCACGGAGGCCAGAAAACAAGCAGUGGAUCCCAUGGAAGUGGACUUAAAGACAUUGUGAGACACCAUGUGGGUACUGAGAAUCUAAGCCAGACCAUCUGGAAGGCCAGCUCUUAACCUCUGAACCAUUUCCCCAGCCAACUUUCUUAUACAGCCCAGGACCACCUUCCUGGUGACAGCACUACUACAGUGGGCCUGGACCUACUAUAUCAGUUAGC